AUUUAUUUGUGGUUGAGUUUUUUCCUUCUGUUCUUGACACCAUUUGUCUUUGAUGUAUGUAUGCUAGUCCUUCACGAGGUGACAACUUAGUCUGUCAAUGGGGGGUUUAAAACGGCAUGUUAUUCACAACCAGAGGACUAGGAACAUUUGCAAAGUUUCUCUCCUCGAUGGAUUAAUGAUGGCAUGCCGAUCUGUGCUAGUUCACCAUGUUUGAACUUUGUUCUUGAACAACAUUUGCGUGGAAUAAUUAUUUCUUUUGAUGCCCAUUAUAAAAUUAGAAAAAAAUCCAGUUUCGAUGUCAUGUAA